UUCCUACCUGGUGAAAAAUAAGAUCUCUUAGAGGAGAUUUUAUCUUCUUGUAUCUCUCGAAUUGACAGGUUCGCUUGCGAGUGACAGUUGUGACAGGUACUUGACGAAAUAGUCUGCCUUUAUUUUAAAAGGAUACUUCCUACACUCUUUGAUAACCAUAGACCUCGCAGGUCCGUGUAAAGAUUUCGAUAUUUUGAGAGCUUUGUAAACAGGAAGCGUUGAAGUGAGAAUAUUAAAUCUCGGGAUUUGAAAAGCACCCACUUGUAUUAGAUUAGACUACAAUAUACGAAGUUUAACACCUUCUCAGGAAAGAUUUCAAGAAAAGUUUGGAAGGUGAACCGAUAUUUAUUCUAGGGACAGUGAACUUUUAUUACCUGGAAAAACUUCAGUUUUAUUGAGCAAGUUUACAUUUCGUCCACCAUGCUGUUUGCACAGCGUCUACUUUUCUUCUUACUGACGGCGUCUGUGCUGCUCUUGUCUGCUUCCUGGAUAAUAUACGCUGCACCGACGGGCAACUACAGCUUGCUCGAUCUUCCCGACGUUGCGCACAACGAUGCAUCUUUCCGCAGCAACAUCUGCCAGUUCCUCUGCACCAAGGAUCCUCCGGAGGGCGGGAACUUCUGCAACUGCGAUCGUCACCCCUUAGGGUGAAGAUCGUGCUUCAAGUAAUCUGCAGAUAGCGCUGAAUAUUAGAGGACAAGCGGGGCCGAAGAAUAGUUCGUUGAUCAUUUUUACCAAACACAAUAUACUUGAUGCCUGUUUAUAUGUCAACAGAGUGUGCUUGUAAGAAAUAUGUAUAUAUUAUUGUGUGACUACUUAGAAUAGUUUCGUUUAUUUUUAUAUUUUUCUUUAGUCUGCUUUUGAGUUCUGUCAGACAUUGCUUCAUUAGUAUUUGCUUCAUCUUAGCAUUUUUGAAUAAGAAAAAUAAAAUGUAAUUCGAAAGUGUAA